CCCAGGCCCACCUCCACACGUGCUCCUUCCUUCUCCCAGCUUGCUCAGACAAGCCCAUGAAUAGAACAUUAAAGGCAAAACCUUCUAAAAGGAAAAGCAGCUCCCUGGUAGGAGUCACCCCACUAAAUGUCAAAUGCAGAGCAAGGCUUCUUGCCUUGUGCGCUUCUCACUCAUGGAGUCACCUUAGCCUCCAUAUCCCCAUCAUCCUAUCGCCGUAUAAAUAAAUCAUGGUCAGAAGAAUGCCAAUUUCCCCCCAGGGCCUCAUGAAUCUCUCAACAUAAGCAUAUGUAAAGGCCCCCUUCACUGCGUGCUGGUCCUGGUGCCCAGAAAGAGAUAGCAAAUCCUGUGGGGAUGAUUUUGGAGGCAGAAGCAAACUUUCUACCACCUCAGUGGGCUGAAAGUUGGGAGCCCAGCUUUUGUCCUGAUUUGGGAAAGACCCUUGCUCACGUAGUUGUCACCAUGAUGCCACUACCCUCUGGAAUCAACUCAGUGAGCUGCCAAGUGGCCCAUCGCUGGGGGCUGCAGUGGUCUGUCCCCUGGCAGACAUGUCACGAGUCGUGCCCACCCACCCCCUGUGAGGGCGAGCCACACACCCACUCAGCAAGUGUUGUUCCUGACAUGUGGCACACACAGCGCUGGCCUGCCCACUCCUGGGAGCCCCUGCCCCCACUGACUGGCUCACCAUCGUGCCACGGCACCGAGCCCUGCCAGUGGACCAAUGGUGUGGGUGCCAGCAGAGGCUCUGGUGCACUAGGGUGUCCUGCUCUGCAACAGUGACCUCUGCCACACACACUACAGGGAGCCUGUUGCAUGCUUUGCCAGGUGUGUUUCUGUACAUACACACACACACACACACACACACGCACACACACUAUGGUACCAACUCUUUUGCUGUGCCAGCACAGAGGUCUCCAGAGCGACUCUCCUGAAUCAGAUAGCAGGGGCUGUUUGCAGUUUCGUUUCCACGCUUCGCUGACUGGUUAGACAGUGAUCACAGGUUCGGAAGCACGAGCCUCACCACAGCGGAGGAGGCCUCCACUCUGAAGCGGGAUUCCACGCUCCUGCACCCUAAGAUCAGCUAGACUCUCUGCCUUGUUUCAUCUUCUUUCUUUUCCUAAAGAAUCACGGGGAGAACUGACCUCUCUGGGACUCAACCGUGGCUGGAAGGGGACAGGAGAAGCCCUUUCUGGAGGACAGCUGAGCCCUGCAGCUGCCAUCCUGCCUGGCAGGCUAGGGCUGGGCUGCGGGAAGGCCCCCCAGGAGGGAGGUCCGGCCACUGCACCCCGAGGAAAGGGCUGCUUUCGGCACUCUGCGUGGAGGUCCUGGCUUCUGCCGUCCCUGGAGGCUCCGUUCCCGUUUCGCCAGCUAUUUUGCUGCCUCGGCCAUCUGUUCCCUCCCUGUCAUCUCCUCUCUGCUUUAACCUUAACCACUACUUCACUGCAGAUGGUACCAGGCAGUUCUGCUCUCGACAUCCUUCACGACGCCUGGCCCUCCUUCUCAUCUCCAGCAAGUGAACCGCUCUGUCCUUUUUAAAGCCUCAUCCCAAAGACACGGCCAGAGCUUGGAGUUGGAUUCGCCCCACACAACUCCCCCUCUUUGAUGCCAUCUGCUUUCAACUCCACCACUGGCCAGGGGCAAACACCUACCCCUUCCCCUGCCUUUUCCUCCUGAGACUUCUUCUCAAACUCGGCCAAGAAGCUCUCCUGGCAUGGACAGCGUGUCUGCUCCGGGUCUCUACCUGGUCUCCAUCAACAGAGCCAUGUAACCGCCCAGAGGGCUCCAGGUCCGCAAGCUGAGGCGGAGGCCAGAAACUCUGAAGUUCACUCCUACUGUGGAGGAACGAGGGCUCGUGCUGGGAGUUUGGGUCAUGAACAGUUUCCCUGUAGAAAAUGGACCUGAACACUCUGCAGUAAGGAAUUGUUUCCCAUGCUGGCAUGGUGGGAACCGAACCAAAACACAUUUUCUAUGUUGUCUGAGCUCACAGGGAACAUCCCUCUGCUGUCCUUGCUGUUAUUCUGGCAUGCUGGUGAGAAAAUGCAUGCAUGGGCUUUACUUAGCAACUCGCUCUGCCUCUCCUCUCUGUCAGGGCGCUCCCCUAAAAUCUCUCCUCUUGACGUCUUUUUUCUGGC
rnacentral:lncRNA from 1 species